rnacentral:misc_RNA from 1 species
UUAGGUAAUACAGUAGUAUGCUCUGUAGUACACUAGCAUGUUAGGUAAUAUCAGUAGUGCUCUGGUGUACACUGGCAUGUUAGGUAAUACCAGUCCUCUAUGUAGUACACUGGCAUGAUAGGUAAUACUAUAGUGCGCUAUGUAGUACACUGGUAUAUUAGGUAAUAUAAUACUGUGCUAUGUAGUACACUUGCCAGCUAUAGGCUACACAGAAGUCUAGGAGGUAGUGCAAUAGUCUAGUUGUAGGAUUGUGUACUAGUCUCACAUGCUAUUCUAGUAUUACUUGAUGAACCAGAAUUUCAAAAUACCGAUUAAUGUAGUUUAAGUAGGGCAAUGAUUUUUACACACGUGCUUAUUGUCUUAAGAUAAGAGUGAGUCUUUUGGACUGGUCUUAUCGCGGAACGAUGAACUCUCUCACAGUGAGCACAGUACACACAAACUCACACAAGCACUACAGAUAUAACUUCUCCGCGUUCUUCGUACUUGCGGCUGCCUUCUUUAAUUAUCUAUAUUUUUUGUGAAAUUUUAGCACACGCAGUGGGAAGGUUCUCGUAAACAUAUUGUCUCGUGACCAUUGUGUGCACAUAUUUCGCUUUGGAGUAACGAGGAGAAUCGGAUGCGGAGGAAUGCCAAGAGCAAGAGAGAAAAAUGUCGGUCACCGAAAUAGGGCGCGUGUGCGAGAGAACGAGAGAAAGUGCAAGUGCCAAGUGCGUGUUUCAAAGAAAAUGCCAGCAAUAAAGUGUGUUUAAAUAAUGACAUAUGGGCGACAGAUGUUAGUCCAUGAUGGUAAAUGCUCUAUUACCGUCACAGGCUCACGCACGAACCAGACUCGCUCGUCAUGUCGGACCCACGCGCGCUGACACGCUGCGCGAAGCAAACACAUUGCAAUGUGCACAUGGCGCGACAACACUCGCACACUCGCACGCCGCCGCCUCAGGCAACACACAAGAGGGAAAUUAAGUGGAGCACCGAGCACCCAGUGUGGCAAUGGUAAUAGUAUCAAGCCCUUCCCCGCCGCCACAAGGUCACCUUAACUAAUGGUGCGUGCGCAGGCCGUGACGUAGGCGCUGCACUGCCACCUACUUCCGGUGACUUGGUUGCUAGGGUGUAACCUUUGAUCUCUGAGCUCGCCGUUACGCGCUUGCCUCUUGAUGAGCGUGUUUCUCACGUCUGUCAUUGUGCAUACUUUACUCCGGAAGAUCAGCUCCAUGCGCCAUACUCUGUUUAUCUCAACCACAACAUUCUCAUUCGCUCAUUUGUUGUCUAAACUAGACCACUGCAACUCUCUUCUCGCUGGCUGUCUACGGUAUCUCAUCCACAAGCUUCAGAAAGUCCAGAACUCCACUGAUCAUCUCGUUUUCUGGACUCGUAAAUGUGAACAUGUCACACCACUUCUUUACUCUCGUCAUUGGCUGCAACUAAAGCUAGAAUAGACUAUAAGCUCUCAACUCUAUGCUAUGGAUUCUUUGAAGGAUCCCCCCACACACACACACUACUUUUCUUUUUAACACCUUGUAAAUCUUUGAGAACAUAAGAAACGCAGCUUUUUCACUAAAUAAUAAUAAUUUUAAAAAAAACCUGCCUUGGCUUUCACCCGAUCAUUUCAUGAUAGCAGCUGUCACAAGUGUUUUUCUAGUCCAGACAGGCGCACCGUGGAACAGCGGGCGUCUCGACAGCGCAGUGUUACCACAGUGUUGUCGAAAUCUUAAAGUCUAGCGUUAAUUCAUAUCUCGUUUGGUUGACAGUCCUCACGCCGGUUUUGUGCGAUAGUCAAUAGAUCCUGUACAGGAUGACCAGUCCAGUCUUUGACCUUCGUAAGUCGGUUCUUUCUCUGGCCACUGCGGCGUCCACCACUCUCCAAGGUACCUUCAAGGACAGUCUUCGACAGGGUGUCGUGCCGGGUCACAUGACCAAACUGUAUGUCUCAGGACUCUAACCAAAGACAAUUCUUUGUGGAACGCUGUCCUAUUCAACCAGAAAAGAAACAAAAUUGACGGCCAAGAAGUAUACGAGGGCAAAGUAUAUCUUGUUUUCGCGGUCGCUGAAGAAUAUUGACACUGGUUAUCAUUUGUUAUCACUCCUGUCAGAUAUCGCCGCCCAGCCUCGCCACCCCAUCAUAGGUCCUCCACUACUGCUGUCAGAUAACGGCAUUAUGACAAGAAGACGGCCUUAAAACCUGCUUCUCAACUCUGCGUCUCGCUAGCCCACUCUCUUUUCUCUCUCUCUCUCCCACCCCCACGGCCUUUUCAUGCUCCGUUCAAUAAUUUUACAAGCUUUCUGUCUUGUCUGCGUGAAUGCUGGCAUAACUUCUGCGUUUCAGGGAUGUAUGAAGUGUACGGGUUUGAGGCGUUCCUUAAAGAAGUUAGACGUAGCCAUCAUCUCCGUGUUUCGCUCUCCAGCUAUCCCCCAGCACACACACACCAUCAUUCCCUCCGUCUUACGUGUCGGUCCCUCGCGCAUACUUGGUUGUCAAAGGUCACCUUCUCGGCUUCCCCUCGCCUGUGUGCGACGUCGACGUGGGGCUGUGAUAAGAACGACGGCUUUUACCUCUUUACCUGUUCAAAUAAACUGGUGACGAGACACCUUGAAGUUUAUGAAAAACUGUUAGCAGCUGUUUCACAAAUACGAUGGACAAGUAAGACAUUUUCUUCCCCUUGUCGGACGGGCGUUACCACCGGCAGUAUAUGAAAAGCAUGCUCGGUGACGCGCAGUCAGUGAAGUUUUCCCGUAAACUUGGAGACCGCGAGGUCAGCACAGGUCAGGUCAUAGCCUUUCCUUUCCCUGACGCAUAUCGCUGCUGCAGUUAGGCAUGCGCAGUGCGACACUUGGCUCAGCUGCAGGUAGACACGUGCUUUAGUCGAUUUUCUACGAUGGGGCUGCAGGCAGUGACAUACCGUCCAUAGCAACUAUGUAUGUGCGAUGCAUUCGAAUAGCAGCAGUUAGGUUUCCGUGGCCAGUGAGUUGUGUUCAGAGGGCCACGUGCAGCAUGGCAUCCAGACGCGGUGGUGGGGGGCCCACUGGUGUCUGAAAUACUGCAAGCUGGGCGCCCUCGCGCUCUUCGUCGUCCUCCUCAUCAC